rnacentral:rRNA from 1 species
UACGUAGGUGGCAAGCGUUGUCCGGAUUUAUUGGGUUUAAAGGGUGCGUAGGCGGUCUUAUAAGUCAGUGGUGAAAUACGGCAGCUCAACUGUCGAGGUGCCAUUGAUACUGUAGGACUUGAGUACAGACGAGGUAGGCGGAAUUGACGGUGUAGCGGUGAAAUGCUUAGAUAUCGUCAAGAACACCGAUAGCGAAGGCAGCGUACUAGGCUGUAACUGACGCUGAGGCACGAAAGUGUGGGGAUCAAACAGG